CCCCGAAUGACGUCACCACGUUGCGGAGCGUCAUUUACCUGGCAGGGCGCCUAAGCGGCUCAAACGCUCAAAAGUUUGGUUAUACUUUACGAGAACAGAUGACAACGGGGCAACUUGCAAUACUUGCAAAGUAGAUAUUUCAUUUAAAGGAGGAAACACUACGAAUAUGCAAAAGCAUUUGCUCACAAAACACGCGAUGAACUUAAAUGAAUGUCGUGUUUUUAAUUCCACUCCGGACUCAUGAAUCUCAACCCAGCAGCAGCGGUAACGUUUGCACGUCAUCUCCCGUUAAUGCGGCAGGUGACCAUGAUGAGAGAGACAGACAGAGUCUGGCUGGCAGUUCUUGCUGCAGUCUACCGGUAGCGUCUCCUUUCAGGCCAGGAUAGACAAAUGUCACCGAGCAGUGACUUAAGUUUGUGGUCAAAGGCUUGCACCCAUUUGCCACAGCAGAUGCCCCCGAUUUUCGAGCCGUAGGCUGUGGAUCUCUUAAGAACUCACUGUUGGGUUUGUAAGGCCAUGUUACUCCUAAAUUUCUAUCUUGUUCAAAGAGAAGAUAUAAAACAAAGUUCUAAGCUAAUCGACCUGUGUGUUCUCCUUUUUUAAAAAGAAUCGAUAAGAGAAUCGAUAAAGAAUCGAAUCGUUAAACAGAAUCGAAAAUGGAAUCGGAAUCGUGAAAAUCUUAUCAAUACCCAUCCCUACUCCCAGUACUCCCAGUUAGCUGUCAACUUUAAUUACAAGUAUUAAUUUUACCCUUUGAUGGUAUGAACAUUUCGAUUUAUGAUUUAAAGUACUGAAAAUUUCUCUAACUGGUGUCUCUCAGACUGGGAUGGAGCUGUGGUUUCUUGCUUUUCCUCUGAUGGUUUUUGUUCAGCCUGCAGGGAUGAUUUCACACUUAUACAACAGUACUGCUGCACUGGUCAGUUCCCCCACAGCUGAAGGAGACACUUUCUCCAGCUCUCCUGGUCAGAGUUAAAUCACUCUGUAUCAGCUCUUCAGCCACAGUAAUCACUGGGGUAGAGACACAGACAGUACACAGCUGCAGUGCUGCACUGGUCAGUUCCCCCACAGCUGAAGGAGACACUUUCUCCAGCUCUCCUGGUCAGAGUCAAAUCAUUUUGUAUCAGCUCUGUGGCCAUGGUAAACAGCGCUGCAGAGACACACACAGUGGUUGGAGUGGUUUCCACACCUAAUCGAAUCAGUUUGGAUCACUUUGCUUCACCUGAACACCCUGACAGUAUUUACACACUGCUGUCUGACUGCAUUCAGCUGACACUGAGAUGAAGCAGAAAAGAAGCAGCUGGUGAAGGUAGAAAGUGUGUGUGAGCUGAUGUGGAUGUGAAUUCAGCAGCAUGGAUCAGUGUGAGGACAGAGAGGAGGGAGUCCCUCCCUCUAAAACCACUCUGUGUGGGGAACAUGAGAGCCAGACCAAAGCUCAGAGUUCAGAGCAGCGGUACGCACUGUAUUCUGCCAGACCUGGGCCCAGCUGCAGAUCCCUAACGACUGACUUGUACUUGGAGUUACACGUGUUUUUUACUCGAAAGCGUCUCCCUUCCAGUUGGUCCUCCUCACUGUUUUGUGGAGUGAAUCAAGCACAAGACUGUACUAAACUUGAACCUGAAUCUAAACAUGAACUGAUGCCUGAAACAACAAGCAUACCUGAACAAGAAGCCUCUGCGACUUCAAAUCUUCAGAUCCUCGGUUGUAAACAUGUCAUGGAUCAGGAUCAGGCUGGGCCCCGGCAGAUGAUCUGUCCAGUGUUGAACAGCAGUGCUGUAAAAAAGACAGACGGGCUUUUAAAGGAAUGGUUGUGGGAAACUCUGGAGACUUUGGGAACUGAGGAGCUGAAAAACUUCAAGUGGUGUCUGCAAAAUGUUACUGAGUCAAAGGAUGGCUUCAAGCCAAUCAAAAAGAGUCGACUGGAGAACGCAGACAGACUGGACACAGUGGACCUGAUGGUGCAGAUGUACGAUACAAAGACUGCAGAGGUGACGAAGAAGAUUUUAAGGAAGAUCAAAAGGAAUGAAGGACAACCCUUUCCCCAAAUUCUGCUGCAGGAUCAACCAGCUAAUGCCACAGGUAUGUGUUCAUUAUGGUACUAAGUCAUACUACACUAAGACUGAUAAUAUAAGUGUAAUAUUUAAGGGGGGAGACCAAAUAGCUGCCAGUCUGAUUUAAUCUAAACCUUUCUCAUCUUUCCACAAUUCACUAACUUUCAUCUGUGUGAAAAGGUGAGAAAGUCUGCCCAAAAAGGAAAUCUACUUCUUCUCUCUAUAACUCAGUUUGAUAUUUAACUGCAAGAAGCAUUCAACUCCAGUCAAACAGAUCUUUAGUUAAUCUGCUAUAUGAGGUGGACAAUUUCUCAGUUUCCUAGACUUCCAAAAGUAACGUAUUUUUAGGACUACACAUAUAUAUAUAUAUAUAAACACCCAGCGCGCCCCUGCGGGCGGUUUAUCCUUCAAGCUCGGGUCCUCUACCAGAGGCCUGGGAGCUUGAGGGUCCUGCGCAGUAUCUUAGCUGUUCCCAGGACUGCGCUCUUCUGGACAGAGAUCUCCGAUGUUGUUCCCGGGAUCUGCUGGAGCCACUCGCCUAGCUUGGGAGUCACCGCACCUAGUGCUCCGAUUACCACGGGGACCACCGUCACCUUCACCCUCCACAUCCUCUCGAGCUCUUCUCUGAGCCCUUGGUAUUUCUCCAGCUUCUCGUGUUCCUUCUUCCUGAUAUUGCUGUCAUUCGGAACCGCUACAUCGAUCACUACGGCCGUCUUCUUCUGUUUGUCUACCACCACUAUGUCCGGUUGGUUAGCCACCACCAUUUUGUCCGUCUGCAUCUGGAAGUCCCACAGGAUCUUAGCUCGGUCAUUCUCCACCACCCUUGGGGGCAUCUCCC
ensembl:lncRNA